AGACGGCGCUGCUGCAGUGCGUCUUCGCACUUACGCGGAGCGGUAAUGUGAGGAAGCCUCCCGCCAAACAGAUGAGGGAGGAGGAGGAGGGGAGAGGCCAGAGAGAGAAGCGGCUUUCGGGAAGGAAAGUGUGAUCUAGUAGGUGGAAUAGUCCUCUCCAAACUUUGACCUGAGAAUGACCCUCUAUUUGGAUUUGGAUUACACAAAGUUUAACGUUUUUUGGAAAAAUCCUACCUAGGUAAUGUGUAGUUCUCAAUGCAUCAUGUCAGGCAGCUUAUGAUGCCAAUUUGUCCCAUGGUAAGUUUUUUUUUUUUAUCUCUAUGGGUGCAUAGUAGGUGUAUGUGUUUGCGGGGUACAUGAGAUGUUUUGAUACAGGUAUGCAAUGUGAUCAUGGAGACACAUGGGGUAUCCAUUCCCACAAGCAUUUAUCAUUUGUGUUACAAACAAUCCAAUUACACUCUUUUAGUUAUUUUAAAAUGUACAAUUCAGUUAUUGGCUAUGGUCACCCCUGGUAAGUUUAAUCACUCAGUUAUGGACCUUUCUCCAUUGUAAAGGUCCUACUUGUAGUUAAUAAGUAAUCUGUGGAAUGAUGAUAAUUUUAGACUGUGUAAAUAUUCCUCAGAAUUUCAACCAAUCAUUUUAGCAUCCAUUAAUGAUUCUUUUCAGAAUUCAUGAUUACUAUAGCAUUUGCAAAAUGGUAAUUUGGUAUUACUCUCUAUUACUCCUUCUAAAUUUAUUAGUUGCCAAUGUUCUGUAAAUCAGACUUUCUCUUCUUCUUUCCCACUUUUUAUUUUUUUACUUUUUUUAGUGACAGUACAGACUCAUGGAGUCUUUUUCAAAUCAAUAUGCUAAAAUCCAUUUCUGUAAUUGAUCGUUUUGAUGUUCAUAUUGUCCCUAAUUUGGCCAGUAGAACUGUCUGCGAUGGGUUCUGCAUUCUCUUGCUACAUCUCCAUCAACUUUUUGACCUUAUCUUACUUUCUGUCACAGUAAGAUGUUUCAAGCUCACUUUAUGUUUUUGUUUCUCCAGACCCCUGGAAUCAGCCAUUUCUUCAAAACCCUAUUUUUUGUUUGUUUGUUUGUUUUAAUGGGGAAUGGUGUUGAGAAACCACAAUUUAGGUGUCAGGUGUGUUCUUUGCCACAGGGGUGUCAUUGCUUCUAGGCUUUCUCAGAGGAUAAAGCUAAGACAUAUGUCUUAAAAAGCAUGAGUUUGGCCAGGUGUAGUGGCUCACACCUGUAAUCCCAGCACAACAAGGGAGGAUUGCUUGAGCCUACGAGUUCGAGACCUGCCUGGGCAACAUAGUGAGACCUUGUCUCUACAAGUAAUUAAAAAAAUUAGCCAGGCAUAAUGGCAUACAUCUGUAGUCCCAGCUACUUGGGAGGCUGAGGUGGGAGGAUUGCUUGAGCCCAGGAGGUCGAGACUGCAGUGAGCUAUUAUCAUACCACUGCAGCACUCCAUGCUGGGUGACAGAGCAACACCCUGUCUCAAAAAAAAAGAAAAAAAAAGUGAUGAGUUUGCACUGAUACCUUUAAUUCCAAUCCAACAUCCCAGGCUUCUGCUCCUUCCCUCACUUCAUAUUUCCUACCAUUACAACUCUGGAUGGACCUCCAAAAAUUUGAGUGUAUUUACUCUUUUGCACAAUCCUACAAAGUGGUUUUAGAAUUGUUGUACCAAUAUUAUCACCACCAACAAGCCUACUAAAGUUUAUAAUUUCUUUGCAUUUUUAAAAACUAACAGUGUUUUAUUUCUUUCAUAAAAAAUCUUAAAUGUGGCAAAAUGUUCAUAUUUGUCAAUUCUGGAUGAUAAUUACAUGAGUGUUAGUCAUAUUAUUCAUUCUUUUCUUUUUAAAAAAUUCUUAUUGAAGUAUAGAAUGCAUACAGAAAAGUGCAUUUAUUGUACAUGAAGAGCUAAAUGAAUUUUUACUAACUGGCAUAUGUGUAUGUGUGUGUGUGGGGUGCUUCUCUAUGUAGAUAUACAAAAAUAUAAAUGUUGUUUUCUAGCUUGUGUAAAUUUUAAGACACAUUCCUAAAUUGUACUUCAAAGUGACUGUACCAGUUUAUUCUCUUAAAUAGAGACUAUUUGCCUACAGGCAUGACAAAAUGGAAUAUCAAAUAACUUUACUUUUUGCCAAUCUAGUGGAUGAAAUAUUAGUUUCCUGUUGCAUUUCUCUGGGUAGAGGUAAUUUUUUUGUUGUUCAGUUAUUGGCUACUUGUUUUCAUCUUAAAGUGAAUUGCAUGCUUAUUUCAUCGUUUUUCUAUUAGAUUGUUAGUCUCUUUGUUUUCUACUUUAAUACUAUCUAAUUUAACAUUAUGAGAUUUGUCUUGGGGUAAGACUGUAACUUUAAGCAGUAAGCACUUGUUCCAGCAUCAUUUGUUUAUUUAUGUAAAAAUGGGCUGGGCAUGGUAGUUCAUGCACUUUGUAAUCUCAGCACUGCGGGAGGCUGGGGCGGGUGGAUCGCUUGAGUCCAGGAGUUUAAAACCAACCUGGGCAACAUGGCAAGACUCAGUCUCUCCAAAAUUGCAAAAUUAGCCAGACGUGGUGGUGUGCACCUGUAGUCCCAACUACUCAAGAGGCCUAGGUGGAAGGACCGCUUGAGCCCAGGAGGCAGAGGUUGCAGUGAGCCAAGAUUACGGCACUGCACUCUAGCCUGGGUGACAGAGUGAGACCUUGUCUCAAAAAAAUAAAAAUAAAAUAUGUAUGUAGAAAUGCUCUUAUUGGGUUUUCUCUAUUAUGAAAGUGAUUUUGUGUGUUUUAAAUUUUAUUUGUAUAAACUUAUGGGGCAUAAGUGCAAUUUUGUUACAUGGAUAUAUUACAUAAUGGUGAAGUCAGGGUUUUUCGUGUGUCCAUCACUGGAAUAAUGUACCUUGUGUCCAUUAAGUAAUUUCUCAUCAUCUACUCCCUGCUCUUUCAAGUCUUGAUUAUAUGUUUAUUCAAAAAAUAAAUAUAUCUCCCAGUAAAUAAAUAUUUCUCCCAGAUAGGUAGAAAAUAAGAAUUGCCCCCAUACCAUCACCACAUAUGAUACUGUUUUUAGUGUGCGUCCUAGUCUGUUUUUUAUUUUUUGUUGUUGUUUUGUGUGUGUGUGCUUCUAACACCCUCAAUUGACUUAAUUUCCCUUUCCAUUUUUUUUAAUGAUUUUACUAUUAGCAAGUACUUUUUUUUUUUUUUUUAGUUUAGGAUCUGUCUUUGAGGCAUCCUUCCUGCUGUAUUUGUCUAUCUAUGGUGCCAUUUAUAUUGUCUUACAAUUGUCUUUAGGAGAAAUGUACUCUCUGUAGAGCCAGCUCUCCCUCAUUGCUUUCCUAGAGUCUGGGUAGGAUAAACAUGACCUUGUGCAACAUUUUGAGUUGUGACUCUGUAUUAGUUUGUUCUCACACUGCUAAUAAAGACACACAUGAGACUGGGUAAUGUAUAAAGGAAAGAGGUUUAAUUGACUCACAGUUCCACAUGGCUGAGGAGGCAUCACAAUCAUGGCUGAAGGUGAAUGAGGAGCAAAGUCACGUCUUAUAUGGUGGCAGGCAAGAGUGUGUGUGCAGGGGAACUCCCCUUAAUAAAACCAUCAGAUCUUAUAAGAACUCACUAUCAUGAGAACAGCAUGGGAAAGACCCACUCCCAUGAUUCAAUUACCUCUCACCAGGUACCUCCCACAACCUGUGGGAAUUGUGGGAGCUACAAUUCAAGAUGAGAUUUGGGUGUGGCACAGCCAAACCAUAUCAGACUCUGUUAAAUGAAAAAGCCUCCGUACAUCAUUAUUCUUGUAACAAAUCACAUCCAAUUUACAAGUGUUCUGUAAAUUCUGGAGAAACAGAGGCCCUGAAGUUAUUCGUGAGCAAGUCUGGGAAAUGGAAAUGGAGGUUCCAAUUCCUGUUUUUACUAAUUUAAUGUGUAUAAAAUGUUAUCUAUAUCUUUUCUUCAUUCCUUUGUUCCUUCCUUUCUUUUGAGGGACUUUCAUAGGUUCAUUCAAGAGUUUUAACCCCUAACUCAUUUUUCUCACAAGGCCUUAAAUUCCACAACCUCAUCAUCUACCACCUUUGGUGCUUUCAGAAUCAUGACUCUCAAUGUUGAAGAAUGGGCUACUGCAUGGAAGGUGGGUGCAAACCCCUAAAAUUUCCACCCCUGGUUCUGGAAAGUGAGAAAUUGGGGAUUUCAAUACUGCAAGCCAUCCUUCACAUUCUAAACUCAUUGUCUUUACUUAGUUCCGUCAGCAUUUCUUUCUUCCAGUCAGUGGGGUAUUGGCAUGGACUUGUACUGGCUCAUAAGAGCUGAUUGGUAAGUUUUCAGGAAUUUGCAAGCUGGUUGUUAAGCACAGUCAUUAUUGAAAGCAAAUUAUGUAAACUUACAAUUAAAUAAAUUAUAUCAAAACCAAAAAUAAUAAAUACUCAGAACUUAUCACUUCCUAAUUAUUUUACUUCACUUUACUAUUAUUCAUGCUUUUGGGGUUAGUUGUGCCUGUUGUAUAGGUAGGGUGGAAAUACUAUAUAAUGCUGCCCUAUUGUAUGUCUUUUCUCAACUCCAUGUUCUCUUGGUAGCAUGAAAUUGGGUUAUGGUGGCAGUAUUUACACCACUACAUAUCAGAGUGUGAUUUAUGAUUUUGUUGAGUGUGAUGGAGAAAAUGUUAACGAUGCAGAUUAAACUUAAAAGUGUGUCAUGUCCAUAGCCCUUACAUUGUGAAUAGUCCCCAUACAUGAGAAAAUAUUCCUCCAGUAUUUGAAAACUAUUAUUUGAUUCAGCAAAGAAGUUGCUUUCAUCACUGACUAGCAAGUGACAUUCUCACAUAUAUCUUUGUUGUUUAACUUUCCUCUUACUUCUAACAUAAAUGAAAAUCUCAACCAAUAUUUAUACCAAAACUAUACAUGCUCAUCAGUUGCAACCCUAGGUUGGCUUUGUGUACAAGAGUUUGGCAAAAAUCAAAGCAUUCUUUGAGAACUAAUGAUGUACAAAGAGUAUAUAAUAAAGAGUAAUCUAUAGUUUAUUAUCAUUUGUAAAUUGUGUGCUACACAUUCUUUACAUCCGUAAAAUUGAAAUAAA
ensembl:lncRNA C21orf62-AS1 C21orf62 antisense RNA 1